rnacentral:rRNA from 1 species
UACAGAGGUCCCAAGCGUUGUUCGGAUUUACUGGGCGUAAAGGGUGCGUAGGUGGCGAGGUAAGUUCGAUGUGAAAUCUCCGAGCUCAACUCGGAAAUGGCAUUGAAUACUAUCCCGCUUGAGGGUCGGAGGGGAGACUGGAAUUCUCGGUGUAGCAGUGAAAUGCGUAGAUAUCGAGAGGAACACCAGUGGCGAAGGCGAGUCUCUGGACGACUCCUGACACUGAGGCACGAAAGCUAGGGGAGCAAACAGG